AACGUAGGGUGCAAGCGUUGUCCGGAUUCACUGGGCGUAAAGGGUGUGUAGGCGGACUGGAAAGUCCGCAGUGAAAUCCUACGGCUCAACCGUAGAAUGGCUGUGGAUACUUCCGGUCUUGGGGAUAGGAGAGGAGAACGGAACUUUCGGUGUAGCGGUAGAAUGCGUAGAUAUCGAAAGGAACACCAAUGGCGAAGGCAGUUCUCUGGAAUAUUCCCGACGCUGAAACACGAAAGCUGGGGGAGCAAACAGG
rnacentral:rRNA from 1 species